AGGAAGGAAGGAAGGAAGGAAGGAAGGAGGGAAGGAAGGAAGGAAGGAAGGAAGGAAGGAAGGAAGGAAGGAAGGAGGGAAUGGAGGGAAGGAGGGAAGGGAGGAAGAAGGGAGGAAGGGAGGAAGGGAAGAAGGAAGGAAAGGAAAGGAAAGGAAAGGAAAGGAAAGGAAAGGAAAGGAAAGGAAAGGAAAGGAAAGGAAAGGAAAGGAAAGGAAAGGAAAGAGCAUCAUGAUUAGAGCAAGGGGAUGCUCCUUUAGUCUCAGACAUGAUCAUGUCAGCAGAAAUAAGGGCACAGAUCUUUAUACUCUUGGAUAGAUAUUAUCACUGCAUUCUGAGCGUAUCCUCUCUAAGUAGUUACCAUUGUUCUCAGGAAAUGUUGCCAUAGAAAUAAAGAAGUUUGAAUCUUGACUGGCAUAUACUGCUGAGAUGCUUCAAGAGUGGCAGGUGUCAGACAUACAAAAAAUGAAGACUUAGUUAAAGAAGCCUCAGAGGACCUGUACUUGAUUGGUUGUCUAUGUUAAAAAUGGAAAACCUGUCUACUAGAGUUCAGAAAUGCUUGAGGGCACUGGAUAAUCACUUUGGGGGUUUGGAGAGUGUGAGGACCUUCAAAUUCCUAACUACAUCCCCAAAAGAGGGAGAAAAAGUUUCUAGCUGUGUAGAGAAAUUAGAAAAGAUGUUACAGAAAGGGAUGGUCCAAGGAGUAGUGACCAUAGAUCCUGGGGAACAAUUUCAAUCUUACUUGUAAUAGAUAGUAAUUCUAUAAGCCUAGACCCAAUAUUGAUUCUGCCAUUUCUGAGAGACAAUCAAUGAAUGCGGCUGGAUGUUCCCCAUUGUUUUGCAUGAGUUUAUCAAAUCUAGCCCAUGCAUUAGGCUUCGAGCAACACUGCUUUAUAGUUUGGAGCAAGUCUUCCCUACAUUUCCUUAAGUAUGACAUGCUAGUGGGAUUUGCAAAAUCUAGAUCUUCCCUUUGCUCCUCAGUGGGCCAACUAGUUAAGUUGUUAUCAGUCCUGGUCUUUUCAAGGAAUUGCCUUUGCUCAUGGGGACUGAACAGUUCAGAUAGGAGAAACUCUACAUCUUCAAAGUCUGGGUCAAAGAUCCUAAAAGCCUGUUUCAGUUCUUUCUCUGUCUUAAAAGGUUGUUCUAAGAAAUUUGGAAAACGUCUCUUCAGGGAGUCAAGUUGCUGUGAUGUAAACUGUCUGUACACUUUGAAUUGUAGCACACCAGCUGUACUUGAAAGCUUGGUGACCUCCUUUAAUGGACAAAUUUUUUCUAGUUCACUAUCAGACUUAGUGUCCUUAUCACUUUCAUUUCCCUUAGCAUUGACCUUAGAUUUCUUUGCCUUUCUCUCUUUUUCUUUGGGUACACUGUCUGCCUGACCAUUGUUCUUGUCCUUAAUAUGGUCUAGUCCCUUAGCCUUGAUCAAUUCCUCAAACAAGUUCUUAAUAAUGUUUUCCAGGUUAUUAUCUACCAUUAGUAUCUGUUCUGCCUUUUUGGGGAUCGCAAAUCUAUAAAUAUUUUUCAAAUGGGUCAGAGUCUGGAUGGCUGCCAUAGAGAUAACAUAAACCUGAGUCAAAAUCUGCCAGAGUUAUAGGUUCAGUUUGAAAAGGUAACUGCAGUAUAAACAUGGUAGCAUUGCCAAUGUAAUCCAGAGAAUCAAAUAUCAUGUGGGUCAUUCUGCUAGAGAGUAUAUUGCAGACCCAGAAUUCAGUAAUGGUUGCUAGUACCACAGCUCCACAGAUAAUUUGCUUAAACAUCUUUCCUACUGUAGUUUCUAAGGAUUGUGUAGUUCAGUUGUUUAGGGGUGCGAAUCUGUAAUAGAUAGUAAUUUUGAGGGUGUAUAUUAAUACUAGAUAAAUAAUGGAUCAAGGUUUGCCUACCCUCCCUUUUCCUCCCAUUUUUCCUCCCUCUCUUCAGAAGCCUUUCAGCUUCCCCCUCCCCCUUUUCUUCACUCAGAGUGAAUUAUGAGAUUUCAGAGGAAAUUCUCUUUUCUUUUCUCAGCAAGAGUUUAUUUGGGGAAUACAGGACAAGGAUGGAGGAUAAGGUAAGAGAGAUAGGAUUUCCCUAUUCUCUAUAGGGAGCCUUGGUUUGGAGGAUAUUGGGAGAAAUGGCAAUCCUGUCACUCUUAUGAAACAGAGUCAAUCAGAGAGAUAUGAGGACAACUUAUCUUUCUUCUUUCUUCUUCUGUUAAUCAGAUCAGAUCAGUCCCAGAGAUACAAAUAGGUUCUUCUCCACUUUUGUCAGAAGCCAAAAGCCUCAGCUUCUUCACCAUCAGCCACCAGCCAAAAGCCCAGAAGCCCAGUUCAGCCAUUGGCUUCACUCCAACUGUUUUCCCAGUAACAUUCCCAAAGGAAUGUUCAUUUUGACUGACAGAUGAUGUCCUUUGCAUGCAUUUAAUUCUCUCCUUUACUUACUCCAGGGUUAUAGGGAACCUUAGAAGGUAAAUCUCUUUUUGUUCGGUCAUUUCAGUCAUGUCCAACUCUUUGGAGCCCACUUUGAAGUUUUCUUAGCAAAAAUACUAGAAUGAUUUGUCAUUUCCUUCUUCAGUCAUUUUACAGAUGAGAAACUGAAGUAAAUAGGAUUAAGUGACUUGCCUGAGGUCCCACAACUAGUAAGGGUCAAAGGCCAGUUUUAACUGAAGAAGAUUAGUCUCCCUGUCUUCAGGUUCCAUGUUCUAUCCACUGCACUGCCUCAAAUCAAAACAACUCAGAGAUUCUAUCUUUAAAAAAGUGGGCAAAGAUAACAAAAUGUGGAAUUGUUCAGUGUUGGAGGAUUUAACAAGAAGAGAGAAACACAUGUGCUAUAAGUGGAACUGUGAACUAUUCUGGCAUUCUUUUUGGAAUUAUGCCCCUCCUAAAUUACUAAAAUAUCUAUAUCCUUUGACCCAGUGAUCCUACUGAUAGACAUAUACUGAAUGGAAGUCAGAUAGGAAGGUCCCAAAUACAACAAAAUGUAGUGACCUUUAUUGUUAUAGCAAAGAACUACAAAGUAUAUGCCUUUUGGUAGGGAAAUGGCUAAACAAAUAGGGGUUAAUCAAUGAAAUGAAAUAUUACCAUGUAAGGACAGUCAGGUGGCUCAGUGAAUAAAGAACCAGACCUGGAAACUGGAGGUCUUGAGUUAAAAUCUGACCUCAGACACUUCCUAGCUGUGUGACCCUGGGCAAGUCACUUAGCCCCUGUUGUCUAGCCCUUACUGUUCUUCUGCCUUGGAACCAAUACUUUACUAAGUAUUGUAUUAAUUAGGUAUUAAUUCUAAGAUGGAAGAUAAGAGUUUAAUGAGAAAAGAAAGAUUACAGUACCAAAACAAACAGAAAAUAAGACUUUAGAGUAAUAUGAAAGACUUAUACAAAGUGAAGCAGAUGGAAGAAAUUAAGCUUUAAACAAGUUUUUAAAAAAUUCGAUUGUUGGAACAGAACAAAGAAAAUGAGAUAAUAUACAAUGGUUACAAUACUGUAAUUAGAAAAUACAGUAACAACCAUAAAAGUAAAAUCAGACCCUAUUCAAUGGUAAUAUCCAAAUUUGACCUUCAAAAGAGUGGAAUGCCUUUUUUGAAGAGGCAGAGGUAUAAAAUAAUGCAUAGUCUGUCAAAUUCAGUAGAUGCCUUUGUUAUCUUUGUUAAAAGUCUUCAUUUGGGGGCAGCUAGAUGGCUCAUUGGAUAGAGAGUCAAGCCUUGAGACAGGAGAUCCUGGGCAAAUCACUUAACCUCAGCUGUGUAGCCCUACCAUUCUUGUACAUUACUUAGUAUCCACUAAAAAAAAAAAUGCUUCUUUGUUUUUCUUUUUAAUUGUUGUUGGAACAUAUUCAGGAAAAGAAUAUGAUGUAAAAACAAAAGAUCAAAUACAAUGAAGAUAAGAUUUUUAAAAUUAUUUUUAAAGAGAGAGAUGCCCAAGAAUCAGUUCAAUAAAAGCCAUUUGCUAAGAGUAAGGGUCAGUAGGUUUGGCAUCCAGGUUUUCUGACCUAGGUGCAAAACUCUAACCUUAAUAGCAUUCUGACUUUCUACUUCUGUUAAAUCCCCUAUUCCUCCUCUGCCUCCUACUCCUUUAAGUCCCAAGUAAAAUUCUGCCUUCUACAGGAAGCCAUCCUCAGACCCUUUUCAUUCUGGAGUCUUACCUCUGCUAAUUGUUUCCUAUCUACUGCUUAGCUGGGACAUGGCCAUUGGGCUUGCUAGAGCUUCUUGGAGCCUCAGGAGAGAGCUGGGAAGGGCUUGACAGCCCUCAUUCCAGAGGUGUGAGUCUUCUAUGCACACUCUCAUCUCAGUAGACAGGCUUAAACCAUGUUGAAGAUAACUGACAGGACUUAAACUCAUCAGUGAGACAGAGGAUGUCUUCCUCAAGCCUGUAAAGACUUCCCCUGGUACAACCGGAGGAGUUUCAACGUCCAUGAAGGCAGAGGAAGCAGAUUUUCUCUGCGUUAUGAUGCAAGUAUCUCCAGGAUAAGUUCUUCAAGGAUUGCUGAACAUGUUGCUUUUAUUAUUCAUUACAUUGGCCUAGACCCCACUUCACCCAACAGAGAGUAUUGGGGAAACAUUAGUUUAGGAGACUAGAUGGGGAUUCUAGAGGUCCAACUGAUUCUCUGGGGGUUCAAAUACAUAUUUUGGAUUAAAGAUUGUUCCUUCAAAAGUC